rnacentral:lncRNA from 1 species
CCUCCUGGGUUUCCUGGGGCUCACCCUUUCCUGUAGCUGGACGCGUUUUUCUUUCACUUCUCUUUACCGAGAAAUUCCAAGUUUCACAAGUUUCAGAUUUGCUCUUGUUCUUUUGAAGGCUUUGUCCAACAACAACAACAACAACAACAACAACAACAACAAUGAUAAGACUCGGGUGCUGCGGGAUGUCACCUGUCUUCAGCCUCACCUGUUCACAGCUCCACCCUGGUGGUGCUGGUGGGCCACAACGUCUUUCUGCCCUGCAACGUGACGCCCAGCGAUGAGAUCACCUGGUACCUGCUGCGCUCAGAGCAGCUGCUGCCUCUGUUAACUGUUAAAAAGGGGAAGUUUGUUGACACCACUGACAAUCACACAAACAACCAUCGGAUGAACUGUAACGGGACGCUGCAGACCGGCCUGGUCAGCCUGGAGAUCCAGGAGGUGGAGGAGGAGGAUGCUGGGCUGUACUUCUGCAUCGGGAGGUUUGCAGCUAAGAUGCACGUUAACAGAGGAAUUCAGCUGACUGUGGACGGAGGUGCCGGGCGGUCGUCCACAGACCGGAUGAGGCAGCCGUGUUUGAGUCUGGGGCUCUGCCUUCUCCCGGCGCUGUUCGCCCUCUGCUUCGUCUGCGUGGCUGGAUGCUACCUGUGGUCAGGUAAACCUGUUUGCUCCUGCUGUAACCCACGGAGACGGGACGCCGAUCACCGGGUCACAGAGGAAGAGUCUUUGCAUUAUUCCAGCCUGAAGCAUCCAGACAAGCCCCGCCCCACCACCAGGAGAGGAACCGGAUUGGCUGAAGAGAAGGUCCUGUACUCAACAGUGAACACGUGCAAGAACUCAAAGGCAUCACAUCACCACAGAUAG